rnacentral:rRNA from 1 species
CAGUAGCCGCGGGAAUACGAAGGGGGCUAGCGUUGUUCGGAUUUACUGGGCGUAAAGGGUGCGUAGGCGGAUUGUUAAGUCAGGGGUGAAAUCCCGAGGCUCAACCUCGGAACUGCCUUUGAUACUGGCGAUCUUGAGUCCGGGAGAGGUGAGUGGAACUGCGAGUGUAGAGGUGAAAUUCGUAGAUAUUCGCAAGAACACCGGUGGCGAAGGCGGCUCACUGGCCCGGUACUGACGCUGAGGCACGAAAGCGUGGGGAGCAAACAGGAUUAGAUACCCCGGUAGUCCCUGUCUCUUAUAC